rnacentral:rRNA from 1 species
AACGAACGCUGGCGGCAGGCCUAACACAUGCAAGUCGAACGCCGUAGCAAUACGGAGUGGCAGACGGGUGAGUAACACGUGGGAACGUACCCUUCGGUUCGGAAUAACUCAGGGAAACUUGAGCUAAUACCGGAUACGUCCGAGAGGAGAAAGAUUUAUCGCCGAAGGAUCGGCCCGCGUCUGAUUAGCUUGUUGGUGAGGUAACGGCUCACCAAGGCGACGAUCAGUAGCUGGUCUGAGAGGAUGAUCAGCCACAUUGGGACUGAGACACGGCCCAAACUCCUACGGGAGGCAGCAGUGGGGAAUAUUGGACAAUGGGGGCAACUCUGAUCCAGCCAUGCCGCGUGAGUGAUGAAGGCCUUAGGGUUGUAAAGCUCUUUUACCUGGGAAGAUAAUGACGGUACAGGAGAAUAAGCCCCGGCUAACUUCGUGCCAGCCGCCGCCGUAA